AUUGAACGCUGGCGGCAGGCCUAACACAUGCAAGUCGAACGAGCGGCGGACGGGUGAGUAAUGUCUGGGAAACUGCCUGAUGGAGGGGGAUAACUACUGGAAACGGUAGCUAAUAACGCAUACCAUCAGAUGUGCCCAGAUGGGCUUAGCUAGUAGGUGGGGUAAAGGCUCACCUAGGCGACGAGCCCUAGCUGGUCUGAGAUGAUGACCAGCCACACUGGAACUGUGACACGGUCCAGACUCCUACGGGAGUCAGCAGUGGGGAAUAUUGCACAAUGGGCGCAAUCCGGAUGCAGCCAUGCCGCGUGUAUGAAGAAGGCCUUCGGGUUGUAAAGCACUUUCAGCGAGGAGGCGUUACUCGCAGAAGAAGCACCGGCUAACUCCGUGCCAGCAGCCGCGGUAAUUC
rnacentral:rRNA from 1 species